rnacentral:lncRNA from 1 species
GUAAGAAUAUACAGGUGAUAGAUGUAGCCCAAUCCUGUUCCUGGAAGUUUCAUUUGGUGACAAGAGAUGGCCAGAUAGGACUUGAUGGGGAAUGUACUGUGUAUCUUAUUGAUUGUUAAAUAAAAUACUGUUUGGCCAAUGAGACAGCAAGUAGAUGGGACUAGGAGUCAAAGAGGAUUCUGGGAAAUGUAGUAGAGAAGUGAUGAUCCAGGCAGGAAGUGACAUAGCAAGGAGACUCAUAUUUAAGCAAAGGAGAAACAGGAAGGGCCCUCUCUUUUCCCCUCUGCUCCUGCUCCAGCGGCAUGAUGUGAUCCACUGGUCCUUAGGAAGACUCUUUCCAUUGUGUGCAGCAGAAAUCCAACAUGACAUGCACAGAAAAGGAAACUUCACACUUCAUAUGGGGUUGAGCAUCCUUAGUCUGAAAAUCGAAAAUAAGAAAUGCUCCAAAACUGAUGCUGGAGAUGUGUCUCAAUUGGUAAAGUGCUGACUCAUCAUACAUGAAGUCCUGGAUAUGAUCCCCAGCACAGGAGUUGUGACCACUCAUGCAAUCCCAGGAGUUCAAGAUCAUCCUCCACUACUUGGCAAUUCCAAGACCAUCCUGGGCUACUGGAGCCUCUAUCUAAAACAAACAAACAAAAUAAACAGAGCAAACCAAACAAAAUGCUCCCAAAUCUGAAACAUGAUGACAUGAAAUCUAAAAAGUGUUUGACUUUACAUUUUAGAUUUUACAGUCAAUACAAAUAUUCUAAAUUCUAAAAAAAUCAAUAUCUGAAACCCACCGAGUCCAAAGCAUUUUAGAUAAGGGAUAAUGAAGUUGUACCAAAAAAUAGGAAAGGCCAAAGCAUACAUUCAUGACAGACGGGGGUUCCUAGGGCCAUAGGCUCAUUGUGUGGCACUAUCAUUAGUAAGGGCAGAUACCUGAGAGCAUGAGUAAUGCUGAAACAGAAAUCAUAAGCUGGGUCAUUUAUAAGCAACAGAAAGUUACUACUGUGGUUAUGUUAUUUGCAACCCCAAGCCAGAGUGUCAGCAACUGAGUCUUAUGAGUGUCCACCAAAUCUUAGAUUGCAAUUCCUUUCCUUUUCCAUGUUUUCACACAGAGCCCCCAAAUCCCCUUUUAUAGAGCACUAAUACCAUUGAUGAGGGUGCCAUUCUUAGGAUAUAAUCAUUUCUGCUAAAGUCCCAUAUUUUUAUAUCAUCACAUUAGGGAUAGUGUGCCGGAAUAAAUUUGGGGAUGGGUCAGUCAAUUAUUAAGACUGUAGUAACAUCUCUGUGCCAUUUAUUUGUCAGGUGAAAACCUCACUCUUCAUUCAUGUCUCCCUGGCACAGUGUUUUUAUGUGCUAAUUCUCUAGUUUAACUGUGUCCAUGACUCUUUUUUUCUUUACAGUCUCUAAACAAAGAUAAUAAGGAAGAGUUGAGAAAUGACAUAUUAUUUGAAAGAAAAUGUGUAGAUGCCCACACCAGUAUUUUUCCAUGUGUGUUUUUAUGUUUAUGCAUUUGUCAUUGAAGUACUUGGAAGUGUAUUAUGCCUAUCUGUAAUGCCCAUACAUUACAAGGAGAUUCCAUUAAAAUUGACAUUUGUACCAUUCAAACACUAUUAUAUCAUAUAUACACAUAUCCUGAAAAACAUAUGAUAUAGAGGAAAAAUAUUCUGCAUACUAGAUCAUUUGAGUUUCAGGAAGAAUAGGGAGAGAUACCAAGGGUUUCUUUUCAUGACUCUUCAUUCUCUUAUUGGGCAGUAGGGUGGUGUUACACACACACAUGACUCAAGUCUGAAACUGACUUUUUAAUUCAAGACCCACUUAUUAGUUGAGAGUGGUGAGAGCUAUGUCUGGAGUCUCAGCUACUUGAGAGGUUGAGGCAGGAAGAUUUUAGGUCAUGGGUAGUGUAGACAACCUAUCUGGAUUCUCAACAGAAAAUAAAUCCAAAGCCCAUUUGUUGAGUUGCCCAAGUGGCCAUCACAUGGCAGAUGCUCAUCAGAUACAUUUCUCUAAGUUCUUUAAGUAGGUUUGAGGAAUUUCUGCUUACCUUAUCUAUAAGGUGUACUGACUCUACACCUUAUAGAAUAAUGUCUAGGCUUUUUCAUUUGACCUAGAAGUUUCGUGAUUAGAAAAUAAAAUUGGAAUUUUGUAUCAGAAUAAACUCAGUGAGGAGAAAAG